rnacentral:rRNA from 1 species
UACGUAGGGACCAAGCGUUGUCCGGAAUCAUUGGGCGUAAAGAGCGUGUAGGCGGCUUGUUAAGUCUUGCGUGAAAUCUCGGGGCUCAACCCCGAGCGGUCGUGAGAAACUGGCAGGCUAGAGUGCGGGAGAGGAGAGUGGAAUUCCUGGUGUAGCGGUGAAAUGCGCAGAUAUCAGGAAGAACACCCGUGGCGAAGGCGGCUCUCUGGACCGUAACUGACGCUGAGGCGCGAAAGCGUGGGGAGCAAACAGG